rnacentral:rRNA from 1 species
GUUUUGUAUGUAUUAUAUGAAUAAGGAUCGGCUAACUCCGUGCCAGCAGCCGCGGUAAUACGGAGGAUCCGAGCGUUAUCCGGAUUUAUUGGGUUUAAAGGGAGCGUAGGUGGACUGGUAAGUCAGUUGUGAAAGUUUGCGGCUCAACCGUAAAAUUGCAGUUGAUACUGUCAGUCUUGAGUACAGUAGAGGUGGGCGGAAUUCGUGGUGUAGCGGUGAAAUGCUUAGAUAUCACGAAGAACUCCGAUUGCGAAGGCAGCUCACUGGACUGCAACUGACACUGAUGCUCGAAAGUGUGGGUAUCAAACAGGAUUAGAUACCCUGGUAGUCCACACAGUAAACGAUGAAUACUCGCUGUUUGCGAUAUACAGUAAGCGGCCAAGCGAAAGCAUUAAGUAUUCCACCUGGGGAGUACGCCGGCAACGGUGAAACUCAAAGGAAUUGACGGGGGCCCGCACAAGCGGAGGAACAUGUGGUUUAAUUCGAUGAUACGCGAGGAACCUUACCCGGGCUUAAAUUGCAGUGGAAUGAUGUGGAAACAUGUCAGUGAGCAAUCACCGCUGUGAAGGUGCUGCAUGGUUGUCGUCAGCUCGUGCCGUGAGGUGUCGGCUUAAGUGCCAUAACGAGCGCAACCCUUAUCUUUAGUUACUAACAGGUUAUGCUGAGGACUCUAGAGAGACUGCCGUCGUAAGAUGUGAGGAAGGUGGGGAUGACGUCAAAUCAGCACGGCCCUUACGUCCGGGGCUACACACGUGUUACAAUGGGGGGUACAGAAGGCAGCUAGCGGGUGACCGUAUGCUAAUCCCAAAAGCCUCUCUCAGUUCGGAUCGAAGUCUGCAACCCGACUUCGUGAAGCUGGAUUCGCUAGUAAUCGCGCAUCAGCCACGGCGCGGUGAAUACGUUCCCGGGCCUUGUACACACCGCCCGUCAAGCCAUGGGAGCCGGGGGUACCUGAAGUACGUAACCGCAAGGAUCGUCCUAGGGUAAAACUGGUGACUGGGGCUAAGUCGUAACAAGGUAGCCGUACC